rnacentral:pre_miRNA from 1 species
ACAACAACAUUCGGACCGUCGGUCUACCGAGCAAUAUCACCAGCUCGGUGGAAGAUCUCCCUUUCGUCGUUAUU